CAGCCUCCAGAGCCAACACCCCCGCCCCCAGCUCAGGGCCUGCCACUCACUCCACUUCGUGAGUGAUCUUGUUGACAUAGAUGCAGCUGUUGUCGGCCUCCUGCUGAGCAAUUGCUUCUAAUUUUUGGGCAUCGCCGCCUCAGUUUACAGAAUAGUAUGGAUCUGGUGCCAGAGCCGGGAAAACGAUGCGCAUCGUAAGCCGCAAAACACUGGGCAUCCAGGACAGAAGCCACGGCGUUUGGCUUGGCUGAAGGCCAGUGCGCAUGCGCGAGUUUACCCUUCGCGGACUGAGCGAGCUCUUCUUGCCAGUCCUACCUCCGGGCUUCAGUCUUCGCCGCCUGUUCUGGUCCUUUCCCGGGCUGCUAUUGGAAGAACCGUGAACUAUGGAAGGCCUCUCUGGAUUGGCUGGGCUGGCCCAAGAGUAAGGAGAGCCCUCUUCCUGGCGGUGGGGAAGAGACGGCGGCUAUUGGCGGACGUUCCUGGCAGGAGAGCGCGGAUUGGUCAGGCACGGAGCAGGAGGCGGGGCUGAUAGCCCAGCGGCAGCGGUGGCCGCGGCUGCAGAGCGGGUGUGAGGGGGCUGGACCGCGCUGCAGGCCUCGGCAGGG
rnacentral:sRNA from 1 species